AGGUGCGAUCAUACCAGCACUAAUGCACCGGAUCCCAUCAGAACUCCCCAGUUAAGCGUGCUUGGGCGAGAGUAGUACUAGGAUGGGUGACCUCCUGGGAAGUCCUCGUGUUGCACCUCU